rnacentral:lncRNA from 1 species
CCAACCUCAGAACACUAAGGAAAUGGAGAGGAGGGAGUAAGCUUCAAGCUUAGUAAGUUCAUCUGAAAAUAAUAAGCAUUAUAACAACAUGUUUCCUUAGGCAAUCAACCAUAAUGACACUUUUACUCAUAUUCUGGUUAAGCUAUUUUCUCGAGUCAUAGUUAUUAAUUUAUUUAUAUUUAGAGUUAAGGAAAUCAAAAUUAAGACCCGUUAAUUUUAAAUGAAACUAGACUCAUUUUUAUUAUUACAAUAAAAUUUCUAGAAUUUUUG